rnacentral:lncRNA from 1 species
CCGAUGCCCACAGAGGCCAGAAGGUAGCUUUACAUCGCCUAGGACCACCAGCCCAGGGGUGGCUCCACCCGCCCAGGGGUAGCUCCUCUUGUAUCAAUAAUCAUGUCUUGCUAAGGUCCAUGACUGACUCUACUCCAUUCCUCUCAAACGCCUCUAGACAACCUUGUAUCAAUAAUCAAGAAAUGCCCACAGGUCAGUCUGAGGCUCCCUCCUGCCAGGUGACUCAGUUUCUGUCAUAUGUGGCAGUCAUACUUGGAUUCGUAUUCUGGUUUGCCAGUGUCAUUCGGGGACUUGAGGAAACGAGGUGCUCUAUGCCUGUUUAAUCCAGCAGGUUUUGUUUGUUUUUGCUUUUGAGUGUAGGACUGACUGAUGUGUGAGGUGGAGUUCGGUGCUUCCUGGUGGCGGUACAUACCCAGAUGUUUCGGUUUGUUUUCAGUUUGCCCAGUUGUUUUAGUUAUAUUUCUUGCUUGUUUGCUAUCGAGAUUUAUAUGUGCUCUAGAGCAAUGAUUAGAAGAUUGAAACAGCAGGCGUAGGUGUGGCCUCUGAUUGGGCUACAACUCAGGUGGACAGGAGCUGGCAGCUCAUCAGUGUUCCUCUGUUCGGGCAGCUAGGAAAAGUCCAGACACGCUGGUUUCAAAAGUUUAGCAUUGAAGGUGUUGGGUUCACAAUCAAAGGAGAUUGUAUUUCAAUUACCGUUGCAAAAAAUAUACCUUAAAAUAUAUAGUCACAAGGAUCA